rnacentral:rRNA from 1 species
GACGAAGGGGGCUAGCGUUGCUCGGAAUGACUGGGCGUAAAGGGCGCGUAGGCGGUUUGGACAGUCAGAUGUGAAAUUCCUGGGCUCAACCUGGGGGCUGCAUUUGAUACGUUCGGACUAGAGUGGGGAAGAGGGUCGUGGAAUUCCCAGUGUAGAGGUGAAAUUCGUAGAUAUUGGGAAGAACACCGGUGGCGAAGGCGGCGACCUGGUCCUUGACUGACGCUGAGGCGCGAAAGCGUGGGGAGCAAACAGG